AUCCCGGCCUGGGUCCUGAGUUCUAGCAGCUGUCCAACACGUCAAGAUCCCGGCCUGGAGCACCAAGCUGGCGGUUCAUCUUCGCGGUCGUUCCCUGGUCGCCUGCCCGUGCUAUCGUGGUCAUUUCCCGGAGUCUCGGAGAGAAUGGCCGACGCCGUGGACAACCCCGAGCCCAUGUCCGAGGAGAGGUCUCCCGGGCCGGAGAAAAUCGACCUGUCGCUCGACGAAAUCAUCAAAAUUAACAGAAAAGAGGCAAGAACAGCAAACAGUGGAAACAGUAGGAAGGACAAACGAGCAGCCAACAGACAAAAUGUUCUCAAAAAGCUAGACCGAGGCGGGUUUCAUUUCGGGCAAGGAGCCUACCCAUACCAAGGAUUCUACAGAUCAAGGUACUUGGGACCCCCAGUUCGCAGGUAUUAUAAAGUGUGGCCGUUCGGCUUCAGAAGAGGGGCAGGCCGAGGAAGAGGAGUGAGUCCACUGAAUAGAACGGCACUGAAUGAGAAGGCUGCUGGGCAGUAUGGAAUGACCAAAGUUUCAUUAAGAGGAGCUGCUUAUCGGCCCUACUACCGUGGAGGCCGACCAAGGGGUGUGGGAAGAACCUCUUUCUCAUCACGAGGACAAAAAACCCCACAGUUCCAGUCCAGGACCAACAUAAGAGGAAGGAGGCCUUUCAUUCUGAACAGAGACUUCCGUGGUUUCACAGGAAGUAGGCAACUGGAAAGCUACCAUAAAGUGAGAAGCUGGAGACAGGCGCCCACUGCUGGCACUGUGUUGACAGUGUCCCUAACCAACGCUGCAGCUAGUCCUGAUGCUGGACAAACAGCCACUGCUGGAAGCUUCUCUGAUGCCCCAGGUCCUUCCUCUUCACAACCCAGGGGUAUUCCUCUCAGAUUCAAUUUUAAAGCCACAUCUAAUCAGACGGGAAUGACUUUAAAUGACCGGUUCACCAGACUGAGGAUCAGAGGACAAGGCCAAAGGUCAUGGAGAGGUCAUGUGAGAGGCAGAGGAAGAGGAAGAGGACGAGGGGCUGGUCGAUCCGUCACUUUGCAGUGAAGAUCCAGCUCUCCACAACCUUAUGCAUAUUGCUUAUUCCACACAAAAUCCCCGUUGUUUACACUGAGAUUUCAUUUACCACAAUCAAAAUAAAUUUAAGCUAAAUUUGUUUAAACA
ensembl:lncRNA UAP56-interacting factor-like